rnacentral:tRNA from 1 species
GGAGAGCUGGCCGAGUGGCCUAAGGCGGCGGACUGCUAAUCCGCAGCAGGGGUCGUGAACCCUUGCCGGGAGUUCGAAUCUCCCGCUCUCCG